UAUGAGAUAUGUUUAGUAUAACAAACCAAACACCACAAUAACUGCUUACUGCUGUGAUUCUGAUUGAAUUUUCUGCUCCGCUAGAUGUUUUGUCAUCUCGAUUACACUGCAUACUCAGGCAAUCAUGAGAGCUGAUGAUUUAAUACCAACUGCUCCAUAUUCUACUAAAGAUGAAGAGAUCUCCGAUCAAGUGUCUUCAUCUUGUCUUUUUUUAAUACUCUUGUGAAUAAUUGGCUCAUUAUUGUUAUUAUUUCUCCUAAUCUUUUUCAGUAUCAAUGUAUCUGCAUUUUGCCAAAUCUGUUAUUCAUGAAAUCACAUCAGUACUCGGAUAUACUGUUUCAGGUAAGAAUUGUGGUACACCUGAACUUGAGUUUAUAUUUUCCUUCGAUUAGUGGUAUGGGUUUUCUUCUUUCUAGAUUUUUUGGUACACUUGAACUUGAGUUUAAAUAAGUGUGGGUUUUCUUGUUUCUAGAUUUCAACCAGGGUAUAUAGCGGAACACUACAGAUUAACGUU